GCGUUCAAUUCAGCAGCACAUAUACUGAAAUUGGAACAAUACAGAGAUGAUUAGAAUGGCCCCUGCAAGAAAGACAUGAAAAUUCAUGAAGUGUUCCACAUUUUU